UAAAGGUCUCGGGCGCAACUUGCGUUCAAAGACUCGAUGGUUCACGGGAUUCUGCAAUUCACACCAAGUAUCGCAUUUCGCUACGUUCUUCAUCGAUGCAAGAGCCAAGAUAUCCGUUGCCGAGAGUCGUGAU
rnacentral:rRNA from 8 species